rnacentral:rRNA from 1 species
GUGUACGGCCAUACCACCCUGAACAUGCCCCAUCUCGUCUGAUCUUGGAAGCUAAGCAGGGUCAGGCCUGGUUAGUACUUGGAUGGGAGAAGCCUCUGCCUUCAGCU